rnacentral:rRNA from 1 species
GAUGAACGCUGGCGGCGUGCCUAACACAUGCAAGUCGAGCGAUUUACUUCGGUAAAGAGCGGCGGACGGGUGAGUAACGCGUGGGUAACCUGCCCUGUACACACGGAUAACAUACCGAAAGGUAUGCUAAUACGAGAUAAUAUGCUUUUAUCGCAUGGUAGAAGUAUCAAAGCUUUUGCGGUACAGGAUGGACCCGCGUCUGAUUAGCUAGUUGGUGAGGUAACGGCUCACCAAGGCGACGAUCAGUAGCCGACCUGAGAGGGUGAUCGGCCACAGUGGAACUGGGACACGGUCCGAACUCCUACAGGAGGCAGCAGUGGGGAAUAUUGCACAAUGGGCGAAAGCCUGAUGCAGCAACGCCGCGUGAGCGAUGAAGGCCUUCGAGUCGUAAAGCUCUGUCCUCAAGGAAGAUAAUGACGGUACUUGAGGAGGAAGCCCCGGCUAACUACGUG